AUGGGAUUAAUAUGUUAUAAAAUAAUAUAUAAAGUAUUGAUCCUCCUGAAUCACUCUCAUUUUCAGGUCAUUAGGAAUUUUGUUGGGAUAAUCCUCCAAAUGAAUUUGAAGCAUUCUAUUCAAAUGUUUAAAUAUACGACUGACUUUGAGAAAGUCCUGAAAUGGCCACUGCUCCACCUCUGAGAGACUCUGAGACAGUAAGUCCCCUAUGUACAAACUUCAAGUUGCAAACUUUCAAAUGUGAGAACAUGUCAGCUGCUGUGCUAUACUACUGUACUUUUCAAGGUACUGUACUAUAAGAUUAAAAAUAUUUUCUUUAAAAACAGUUUUUAAAUGUUUGCUUUUUGUAUUUGGCUCUUAUGAGUUAUUUGUGUGAAAAGUAUUAUAAACUUAUUACAGUACAGUACUAUGUAGCCAACUGUGUUAGUUUGGUACCUAGGCUAACUUUGUUGGACUUGAGAACAAAUUGGACUUAAUGAACUUGCUUUUGGAAUGGGCCUCCUUUGUAUAUAGUGGACUUGUAUUUUGUUCCUUGUCAAAUAGCAAAUAUGAAUUAAAAUGCUAAAAUUUGGCAGUCUUCAACUGUCUUUUCUCCUCACAACUCCAGUUACCAUUGGCAUCUCUAGAAUUUAAGUUUUUCCUGUAGGGUCUGGAGGAGGGUGAGGAAGGUGCAGUGGAAAGGGGGUUUCAGUGUUCACUGGCAGAGCUCCUUCUGGCAAUCUCAGAUGCCUUGGGCAGAGAUAGAAGGGAACUUCUUUCUGGCAGCUUGUUGGAAUUCAAAUUAGUCAGUUCAAAAUUAAUCUUGAUUAUCACCUUUAUGCCAUAGCUUAGCUACUUCAUAAGUUAAAGGUUGUGUGUGUGUGUGUGUGCCUAAUCAUGGAAAGAAACAAACCUGUACUAAGUUGAAAGCAUACAUUUAUUUUGAGGGGAGUAAUUGAUGAAUCUAUCAAGAGAGAUUUUCCAUUAUAAAAGGUAAAUGUAAUUUUGUAUGAUGCAGAAAUCAACAUUACUCAAUAAAUAUAAAACAGUCUUAAAUAGAUAAAUACUGGUAAUACUUGGUAUAUAUAAUAUGUGUGUAAUAUCUGUGUUUAUCAUGUAUCCUAAUGUAGUCUAUAGGAAAGGUGAAUAUUUUUAAAAAAGAAUUCAAAGGAACAUAUAUUUGGGAUAUAUGCACAUAGUCUUAACUGAAAAUAAGCACAAAAAUGCUGCAAAAUACAACAAAUCAUUAAGAACAUUUUGAAAGACCUCUUGUCUAUGUUGAACAAAGAAUCCAUUUCCUAGCUACAUAUUUACAUUAGAAAAUGGAACAGAUGAUAUUAUUUUUCCUUUGCCUGAGUAAUUUCUUUUCACUUAAUUGAUUUUUCUUUUGUCUUUGCUAUCAAUUUGUCAGAUAGCAUGUGGUUUAUUACUUUUAUGGAGCUCAGAUUUUCAAACAGAAGAGUUGAACAUCUUUUCCAUAAUUUUAUAACAUUUUAUUUCAGACAUAAUAAAGACAAAUAGGUAUGUGUGUGUUUUUACAACAUUAUGUCUCCUGCAAUGUGAAGCAAUAUUUUAUAUAAUAGCUUUAGGUAUUCUAUAAUUAUCACUUGAACUGAAAAAGGCAAACAUUUUCCUUUGAGCACAUUUUAAGAAUAAUUUUUCAAAUACAUAUAUUUGUGUGGAUCGCAGAGUUCCCAGAUUUCUUUCUGUGGCGCUUCCAUAAUAUAACCAGCCUAGACAAGAGCUAUUUCAUGGCACAACUGAGUAGCUUUUAUUAUGUAUUUCAAUCAACGAUUUGAGAAAAGCUUUUUGAAGUUUAAUUUAAACCCCCUGUUAUCAUUGUAGUAGAGCAGCUCUAGCUAUUUUUCUUCAGUUCAUUGUCAUUAACUAAAGCUAAGCCAUUCCCUGUAAUAAUAAGGAACUGUUGGUGAUUGCAUUAACUCUUGAGGCUCUAUCCAGUCUCAGGAGUAGCAGUCUGAUGAACAAGGAGCAACCACUAAAAGUAUUGGAAACCAAGUGAGGAACAGCAGUUUUGUCAAACUCGUGUAAAUCCUUUAAGGGGUGCUAAAGAUUUCGUUAUUUGUCAUGGUCAGUAUUAUUGUUGUUAGUUUCUAUGGUUCUUUUCAGUUACGUAUAGGAAACAAAAUCUGUGUUUCUUUCAGGAGGAAUCUUGUUAACUUCUGAAGAGUGGUAUAUGGGGUGAGGCAAAGAUUCCCUAAGCUUUCUGAUAUACAGUGGCAAUUCUAAUGUAAGAGUGACUGUUGGUGCACUUUCCAUAUCACCCUUAUGGAAGUCUGCUGAACUCCAGUACACAUUUAGGAGCACUACAAUAGCUUCAAGCAAAUCUAGUUUGUUUAUCUAAUUCCUUGUGUACCAUAAGAAAAAAAAUAAAUAAAUCCAGACUUCACCCCGAAGAGCUUGUCAUGUAUAGCUUUUGCCAUUGCAGGAGAUGUGGAUUGGAUCCCUGGAUGGGGAAGAUCCCUUGGAGAAGGAAAUGACAACCUACUCCAGAAUUCUUGCAUGGGAAAUCCCAUGACAGAGGAGCCUGGUUGGCCACAGUUCUUGGGGUCACAAAGCAGUCAGACACAACUUAGCAGCUAAACAAGGACAAAAACAAACAAAUACUCAGAUCACAGCAUGGUUCAUUCCACUGUAUUUCCAAAUAUGAAUUACCACAGAUAGUAUUAUUCUUUAACAUCAUCUCUGUUUCCUUGAAGACAAAUUGUCCGGACUAUAGCACCU
rnacentral:lncRNA from 1 species